GUUGAAUCUACACAGCCUAUCACAGCUACAUUUACGUGUUCAACGAAUGUUCCUUCUACAUCUGCUAUUUGUGGUAUGUUUACAAGUUUCUACUUUUUAAUAUGUUUAUGCAUAUCUUGGCAAUUACAGUAUUUAUUUUUAAUCACAACUUUGAUAAUCUUUAGUUACAUCU
rnacentral:lncRNA from 1 species